UACGUAGGGGGCAAGCGUUGUCCGGAAUCAUUGGGCGUGAAGAGCGCGUAGGCGGCCCAGUAAGUCCGCUCUGAAAGUCAGGGGCUCAACCCCUGAAUGCGGGUGGAUACUGCUGGGCUAGAGUCCGGAAGAGGCGAGUGGAAUUCACGGUGUAGCAGUGAAAUGCGUAGAUAUCGUGAGGAAGACCAGUGGCGAAGGCGGGUCUCUGGACAGUUCCUGACACUGAGGCACGAAGGCUAGGGGAGCAAACGGG
rnacentral:rRNA from 1 species